CUACGUGCCAGCAGCCGCGGUAAUACGUAGGGUGCGAGCGUUAAUCGGAAUUACUGGGCGUAAAGCGUGCGCAGGCGGUCUGUCAAGUCGGAUGUGAAAUCCCCGGGCUCAACCUGGGAACUGCAUUCGAAACUGGCAGGCUAGAGUCUUGUAGAGGGGGGUAGAAUUCCAGGUGUAGCGGUGAAAUGCGUAGAGAUCUGGAGGAAUACCGGUGGCGAAGGCGGCCCCCUGGACAAAGACUGACGCUCAGGUGCGAAAGCGUGGGGAGCAAACAGGAUUAGAUACCCUGGUAGUCCACGCCGUAAACGAUGUCGACUUGGAGGUUGUGCCCUUGAGGCGUGGCUUCCGAAGCUAACGCGUUAAGUCGACCGCCUGGGGAGUACGGCCGCAAGGUUAAAACUCAAAUGAAUUGACGGGGGCCCGCACAAGCGGUGGAGCAUGUGGUUUAAUUCGAUGCAACGCGAAGAACCUUACCUACUCUUGACAUCCAGA
rnacentral:rRNA from 1 species